rnacentral:rRNA from 1 species
UACGUAGGGUGCAGGCGUUAAUCGGAAUUACUGGGCGUAAAGCGUGCGCAGGCGGUCUUUUAAGUCAGAUGUGAAAUCCCCGGGCUUAACCUGGGAACUGCGUUUGAAACUGGAAGGCUAGAGUGUGGCAGAGGGGGGUGGAAUUCCGACGUGUAGCAGUGAAAUGCGUAGAGAUGUGGAGGAACACCAGUGGCGAAGGCGACUCUUUGGUCUGUAACUGACGCUGAGGCGCGAAAGCGUGGGGAGCAAACAGG